CCUCUCUCUAUGAAGACUAUUAUACUAUAAACAGUAAGGUACAGUCUCUCUCUCUCUCUCUAUGAAGACUAUUAUACUAUAAACAGUAAGGUACAGUCUCUCUCUCUCUCUCUAUGAAGACUAUUAUACUAUAAACAGUAAGGUACAGUCUCUCUCUCUCUCUCUCUCUCUCUCUCUCUCUAUGAAGACUAUUAUACUAUAAACAGUAAGGUACAGUCUCUCUCUCUCUCUCUCUCUCUCUCUAUGAAGACUAUUAUACUAUAAACAGUAAGGUACAGUCUCUCUCUCUCUCUCUCUCUAUGAAGACUAUUAUACUAUAAACAGUAAGGUACAGUCUCUCUCUCUCUCUCUCUCUCUCUCUCUAUGAAGACUAUUAUACUAUAAACAGUAAGGUACAGUCUCUCUCUCUCUAUGAAGACUAUUAUAAUAUAAACAGUAAGGUACAGUCUCUCUCUCUCUCUCUAUGAAGACUAUUAUACUAUAAACAGUAAGGUACAGUCUCUCUCUCUCUCUCUCUCUCUAUGAAGACUAUUAUACUAUAAACAGUAAGGUACAGUCUCUCUCUCUCUAUGAAGACUAUUAUACUAUAAACAGUAAGGUACAGUCUCUCUCUCUCUAUGAAGACUAUUAUACUAUAAACAGUAAGGUACAGUCUCUCUCUCUCUCUCUCUCUAUGAAGACUAUUAUACUAUAAACAGUAAGGUACAGUCUCUCUCUCUCUCUCUCUCUAUGAAGACUAUUAUACUAUAAACAGUAAGGUACAGUCUCUCUCUCUCUCUAUGAAGACUAUUAUACUAUAAACAGUAAGGUACAGUCUCUCUCUCUCUAUGAAGACUAUUAUACUAUAAAACAGUAAGGUACAGUCUCUCUCUCUCUCUCUCUCUAUGAAGACUAUUAUACUAUAAACAGUAAGGUACAGUCUCUCUCUCUCUAUGAAGACUAUUAUACUAUAAACAGUAAGGUACAGUCUCUCUCUCUCUAUGAAGACUAUUAUACUAUAAACAGUAAGGUACAGUCUCUCUCUCUCUAUGAAGACUAUUAUACUAUAAACAGUAAGGUACAGUCUCUCUCUCCCUAUGAAGACUAUUAUAAUAUAAACAGUAAGGUACAGUCUCUCUCUCUCUCUCCCUAUGAAGACUAUUAUACUAUAAACAGUAAGGUACAGUCUCUCUCUCUCUCUCUCCCUAUGAAGACUAUUAUACUAUAAACAGUAAGGUACAGUCUCUCUCUCUCUCUCUCCCUAUGACAACUAUUAUACUAUAAACAGUAAGGUACAGUCUCUCUCUCUCUCUCUCCCUAUUGAAGACUAUUAUACUAUAAACAGUAAGGUACAGUCUCUCUCUCUCUCCCUAUGAAGACUAUUAUACUAUAAACAGUAAGGUACAGUCUCUCUCUCUCUCUCUCCCUAUGAAGACUAUUAUACUAUAAACAGUAAGGUUACAGUCUCUCUCUCUCUCUCUCUCUAUGAAGACUAUUAUACUAUAAACAGUAAGGUACAGUCUCUCUCUCUCCCUAUGAAGACUAUUAUACUAUAAACAGUAAGGUACAGUCUC
ensembl:lncRNA